rnacentral:rRNA from 1 species
UACGUAGGGGGCUAGCGUUGUCCGGAAUCAUUGGGCGUAAAGAGCGUGUAGGCGGUCCGGUAAGUCCGCUGUGAAAGUCGGGGGCUCAACCCUCGAAUGCCGGUGGAUACUGUUGGGCUAGAGUGCGGAAGAGGCGAGUGGAAUUCCUGGUGUAGCGGUGGAAUGCGCAGAUAUCAGGAAGAACACCAACGGCGAAGGCAGCUCGCUGGGACGGUACUGACGCUGAGACGCGAAAGCGUGGGGAGCGAACAGG